rnacentral:rRNA from 1 species
CUCCGCUACGGGGGGCAGCAGUGGGGAAUAUUGCACAAUGGGGGGAACCCUGAUGCAGCGACGCCGCGUGGGUGAAGGAGUACUUCGGUACGUAAAGCCCUAUCAGCAGGAAAGAAAAUGACGGUACCUGACUAAGAAGCCCCGGCUAACUACGUGCCAGCAGCCGCGGUAAUACGUAGGGGGCAAGCGUUAUCCGGAUUUACUGGGUGUAAAGGGAGCGUAGGCGGUUUAGCAAGUCAGAAGUGAAAGCCCGGGGCUUAACUCCGGGACUGCUUUUGAAACUGUUGAACUAGAUUG